rnacentral:rRNA from 1 species
AUUGAACGCUGGCGGCAUGCCUAACACAUGCAAGUCGAACGAGACCUUCGGGUCUAGUGGCGCACGGGUGCGUAACGCGUGGGAAUUUGCCUCGGGGUACGGAAUAACUCAGGGAAACUUGAGCUAAUACCGUAUGAUGUCUUCGGACCAAAGAUUUAUCGCCCUGAGAUAAGCCCGCGUAGGAUUAGCUAGUUGGUGAGGUAAGAGCUCACCAAGGCGACGAUCCUUAGCUGGUCUGAGAGGAUGAUCAGCCACACUGGGACUGAGACACGGCCCAGACUCCUACGGGAGGCAGCAGUGGGGAAUAUUGGACAAUGGCGAAAGACCUGAUCCAGCAAUGCCGCGUGAGUGAUGAAGGCCUAGGGUUGUAAAGCUCUUUUACCGAGAUGAUAAUGACAGUAUCGGGAGAAUAAGCUCGGCUAACUCCGUGCCAGCAGCCGCGGUAAUGUGACU